UGAGUGUGUGUGAGUGUGUGUGUUAGUGUGAGUGUUAACACACACUAACACACACACACACACACACUAACA